rnacentral:rRNA from 1 species
CCUACGGGGGGCUGCAGUCGAGAAUUUUUCACAAUGGGCGCAAGCCUGAUGGAGCGACGCCGCGUGGGGGAUGAAUGGCUUCGGCCCGUAAACCCCUGUCAUUUGCGAUCAAACCUUGCUAUUUAAAAGAUGGCGAGCUGAUAGUAGCGAAAGAGGAAGGGACGGCUAACUCUGUGCCAGCAGCCGCGGUAAUACAGAGGUCCCAAGCGUUGUUCGGAUUCACUGGGCGUAAGUGGUGCGUAGGUGGUGGGAAAUGUCGGGGCUCAACUGCGAAAUGGCAUUGGAAACUGCCCUGCUAGAGGGUCGGAGGGGGGACUGGAAUUCUCGGUGUAGCAGUGAAAUGCGUAGAUAUCGAGAGGAACACCAGUGGCGAAGGCGAGUCCCUGGACGACUCCUGACACUGAGGCACGAAAGCUAGGGGAGCAAACAGGAGUAGAGACCCGUGUAGUC